CGGCCCCGCCCCGCCCACCCGCGGUGGGGCCGCGCAGCGCACGAGGGGCAGCGCCCCCGCGUAGCGGCUCCUACGCUCCCGCGCUGCGCUCCGCCGCGGAUGUGGGGGGGUCCCGGGCAGGCGUGCAGACGACGCGGUUUGAGGGGGAAGCACAGGGUCCGAGCGCAAAGCGCCUUCCCGGGAGCAGGAAUUCGGCUGGGGAGGAUGCGCGCCCGUUGCGCGCCGCGCACAGAGCGCCCUGCCGGCUCGCGGGGAUCGGUGCGGAGCGCUGGCGCAGCUCGGCCGCAGCCGCUCCCCCUUCCUCCGCGCCACAGGCAGAGGUUUGGGUUUAAAUUCCAAUGGAGAGCAGGGAGUUCGCUCCGGUUUGGUCCUGGGGCCGCCCGGGACGGGAGCGACUCGUCGGGCAGCUGCGAGUCUGACGGUGGUGUACCGCAGAAUCUACAGUCACCUUUGUUGGGAGAUCAACCAGAAAAACACCCGAUUUCUUGUUCUUCCACACUGCCAUUUUUCAGCCGGUGACCUGUGGCAGGGCAGCUCCCUCACAGCAGAGCACCCUCAUGCCUCAGAGCCCUUGCAUGGAAAGUCUCGCUAAUAUUUACUCAUUCUGAAGAGGUUGCACGGCCAGGCCCUAGCAUGCAAGUGCCAAGGAAAAAAUUGUGACCCAAGAGAAGUAAUGUUUUUUACUUUAAUAUUUGGGAAACCACGUUGUCUGGGACAGGAAAAAAAGUUUGCUGCAAAGAGGAAUAAGGGAAUACACUGAACUGGAAAAUCCUGUAGUUCGCAAGGGCUGGGCUAGCCAACCUAAUGAUUGCUUUUUUCCUUCCAUCUCUAAUGAGAACUGGAGCAUUCACAGAUGCAGGUAUUAACAAUGUGUAGCCUCAACACAAUGUCUUUAACUCUAUGAAGCAGAUAGUAAAAUAAGGGGUUUGGGUGUCUGUCCACAUUCUGCUUUGCAAAAUUACCCUUGUCAUGAGUACCCAAAGGUUUUCAAAACACAGAAGAAAAAGGUAGUUUGAACAAGUCUGUGUUAAAUUUUAUCAAAACCGUGGUAGGGCUCUGCACUGCUCUAUACUCAGAUGGUUGUAUUUGGUGUUAACACUGAACCUGUCUUUUCCCAAACUCUGGUCAGCCCAGAACGCAGCAGAAAGGAGACCAAAUGGCACAAGUGACGCAGGUCUCCCAGACAAAAGCCUUUGCUCAGGCACCAUAAAGGAGCUCAGCUUAUCAACAGAAAUUUUCACAAGCUUCAGAUUUUAAUGCUAUUUAAAAAUAACAGGCAUUUUAAUUGUAAAGCUUUUAGUUUAAAACUGUCGAUUUGUGCUAGGAUUCCUGAACUCAGAAAUUCUUCUCCUUAGAACAAAUAAAUACAUGCAUGUUUGGCCAAACUAAGGACAUGCAAGUUGGGUGUCAGUCUCUUCUCCCAAGUUACAAGUGACAGGGCAAAAGGACACGGCCUCACGUUGCGCCAGGGUGCUUUAGGUUGUAUAUUAGAAAAAAAUUCUUCACUAAGAGUUGUCAAGGAGUGGCACAGGCUGCCCAGGGAAGUGGUGGAGUCACCGCCCCUGGAGGUAUUUAAAAUACUUGUGGACAUGACACUUAAGAGACAUGGUUUAGUGGUGGACUUGGCAAUGCUGGGUUAACGGUUGGACUCUAUGAUCUUAAAGGUCUUUUUCAACCUAAACAAUUCUAUGUGAUUAUUAUUCAUAAGCACUUUGUGCUCUGCUCAGGCUUGUUAAGGUUUAUAGAGACCCCUCUGCACAGGGCUUCUCUGAUCCACCAAGUUCCUCUCCUCAGCAGUUAGUUUCCUCCUUUGUCACUUAAUAGGUCCCUGCAUGACAAAUGCUUGCAGCUCUUGUUUUAUGCAUCUUUUUAUUAAACAUGCUACUAUCACUUAAUUCUUUUGCUGCAUAUGGGGUAAACACACUGCUCCAAACCCUGGACUCCUGCAGGGAACAUAGGAAAACAAUGGCUUCACCAGUCUCCAGCCACCCCAUCGUUCUGCCUGGCUCAGCUGACUCACUACUGCAUCACUGUGUGAUAAUCCCUGCCAGUACCCCACUUCUUAUCACAAUGAGUAUGAACCAGCUGUCAUAUAAGGCAUAAGAAUUUCAGCUUCAUUUCUAGGGCCUGCUUGUCUUCUCAUGCCGUACAUGGAAAAAAAAAAUCAUGACUCACUUCUUUUCUGUUCUGUGUGGGCUUGGUUCAAUGCUGACUGAGGUCAGGGGCAAUGGUGCAGGACCUCUUAAGUCCUACUGCCUGUCUUCAGUGCUGCUU